GAUGAACGCUGGCGGCGUGCCUAAUACAUGCAAGUCGAGCGAACAGACGAGGAGCUUGCUCCUCUGACGUUAGCGGCGGACGGGUGAGUAACACGUGGAUAACCUACCUAUAAGACUGGGAUAACUUCGGGAAACCGGAGCUAAUACCGGAUAAUAUAUUGAACCGCAUGGUUCAAUAGUGAAAGACGGUUUUGCUGUCACUUAUAGAUGGAUCCGCGCCGCCUUAGCUAGUUGGUAAGGUAACGGCUUACCAAGGCAACGAUGCGUAGCCGACCUGAGAGGGUGAUCAGGCAAAAGGGAACUGAGAAACGGUACAGACGCCAAAGGGAGGCAGCAGUAGGGAAUAUUCGACAAGGGGCGAAAGACUGAACGAGCAAUAAAGCGUGAGUGAAGAAGGGAUUAGGAUCGUAAAACCCUGUUGUUGGGAAAGAAAAACAGAAGGAUAAGAAAUGGAUGGCUUGACGGUACCAAAUGAAAAAGCAACGGAUAACUUCGUG
rnacentral:rRNA from 1 species